GAAAAGGACAGACAUUAGAAGUUAUUUCGCUACGUCGGCUGAUGCUCAGACAGCAGAGCAAGGGGCAGAGCAGAACGAUGGAGAGGUGGCUGGAGCUUCAGGGCUCCAGGUGAGGUGUUAGUUCUCAGAUAUGAAAUAUACUGUGAAAUUAUC